GUCCAUGUAGCUUAGGCCAAAGCAUAGCACUGAAGAUGCUAAGACGACACCAACAAAAUGUCCAGGGACA
rnacentral:tRNA from 4 species